rnacentral:rRNA from 1 species
UACAGAGGUCUCAAGCGUUGUUCGGAUUCAUUGGGCGUAAAGGGUGCGUAGGCGGUGUCGUAAGUCGGAUGUGAAAUCCCGGGGCUUAACUCCGGAACUGCAUUCGAUACUGCGAUACUCGAGGACUCGAGAGGAGAUUGGAAUUCACGGUGUAGCAGUGAAAUGCGUAGAUAUCGUGAGGAAGACCAGUGGCGAAGGCGGAUCUCUGGAGAGUUCCUGACGCUGAGGCACGAAGGCCAGGGGAGCAAACGGG